rnacentral:sRNA from 1 species
AAUCUCUCUUCUCUCUCGCUCUCUC